UUUGGAUAAACACAACAAAACACUCAGUUGUCGUUUCUUUGUAAAUAUAUAGGGCGGGCACGACACGAAUCUGUAACAGAAGAUUUUUAAGAUUACUUAAAAGCUUUCUUUUUUUUUCUAAUUUUAUCAGACAAAGAGAGAGAGAAGAGAGAUGAAUUUUGUAGUUCGUCUUGUUGUGUGUAUCGUGUUGACGCUUACAAUUACAUCUUCAGCCCGUAACUUUGUUUCCAUUUCAGGGAUGGGGAAGAUUGAAAUAGAAAGAAGGUCGUUGAUGGUGAACGUCGAGGAUUACGGUGACCCCUCUGCAAAUCCAAAACAUAAUCCCGGCGUUCCUCCGGCAACCUCCGGCCAACACAGCCUCGGCAGAGGAUGACUUAAGUUUAGAUACUUACCCUGAAGGGAAGCACUCCUCUUGUUUAAAUGUUCUGUUUGUCUGAGAUAAAAUGAAAUUCUCAGUUUCAACAACUUUCUCCAAUCUGUAUAUUGAUAUGAUCAUAUUUCUCAGUCAUUUCCAGGUAAUUUCUUUUUUCUU